rnacentral:tRNA from 1 species
GGGCGCGUAGCUCAAUUGGCAGAGCAACUGACUCUUAAUCAGUAGGUUGAAGGUUCGAUUCCCUCCGCGCUCACCA